rnacentral:rRNA from 1 species
GACGAACGUUGGCGGCGUGCUUAAUACAUGCAAGUCAACUGAAGCAGUGGUAGCAAUAUCGCUGUGGAGGUGGCGCACGGGUGAGUAACACGUAGGUAAUCGGCCUUCAGGUCUGGCAUAACUCCGGGAAACCGGGGCUAAUAGCAGAUGAUGCAGCGGCUCGACAUCGAGACAGUUGUUAAAGCUAUGGCGCCUGAAGAUGAGCCUGCGUCUGAUUAGCUAGUUGGCGGGGUAACGGCCCACCAAGGCAACGAUCAGUAGCUGGUCUGAGAGGAUGAUCAGCCACACUGGAACUGAGACACGGUCCAGACUCCUACGGGAGGCAGCAGUAAGGAAUAUUGCCCAAUGGGAGAAAUCCUGAAGCAGCAACGCCGCGUGAGGGACGAAGGGCUUUUGCUUGUAAACCUCUGUAGUGAGAGAAAAAAAUCCCAAUCUUUGGGACAUGAUGGUAUCUCAAAAGUAAGCCCCGGCUAACUACGUG